UUAAGGAAAAAUGAAAAAUUCAUUGCUGAAGGUUAUCAGAUUAGGAUUUAGUGUUUCUGAAAUCUUCAUCUAAAAUAAUGGACACUGAAACUGGUCAAUUUAAUUGCUUGCUCGAACUUCAUAUAAGUUAUUAAGAAACUUACAAUGACUUUUUUUGAUCAAUAUUUCAAGAAAGUUAGAUACCAAUUUCGAAUCCAACUACUGAGAAAUAUGGAUACCUAUUAUAAACGAUCGGAACAACGAGAUAGAGUUCAAUUAAACGAAGCGUAUUGUUAUUUUAAAAAUGUUAUUAUUAUAUUCCUACCAUAAUCACAGUCUAUUCUAAAUAGUCUCUAAUUAUUUGAUUUUAAACCACAAAACCUAACCAAAUAAGGAAAUUUGUGUAUAAUAUAGUAUAAUGAUUAUUAUUUUUUGUACUUUUAUAAUACAAAUUCUAAGAACUGAAAUAUAUUGUUAAAA
rnacentral:lncRNA from 1 species